rnacentral:lncRNA from 1 species
UCCGUCUCAAAAAAAAUAAAUAAAAAUAAAAUAAAAAAUACAGCAGCCUGGCUAAAAGCCAAGAUAAUUCCACUUAAAUGUCCUGAUCCGAAGAAUAUCCUCCUAAGGUUUUGCUGGACUUAUUUUUCUAUUGAAUUGGGCUUUGGUCAUUCUAGUUCAGAAACUGUCACAGUCUUGUACAACAAUGAUGACAGCACUUACUUGGAAUGCUCCAGAAUAUAGCAACGUAAAAUUUGUGGGCCGAGCCUCUUAUCAGAUACAUUGGAAUAGAUGAAUGCUAUACCUAAUCCUGAGAGUUAGUUCUGUGCAGUGCUCCCUAACAAAGCAGCAGGUCAAGGACGUACUUUUAUCUACCCUCUUUAAAAAGUACCCCACGAGGCACAGAGGCUCAAACUUGUAAUCCUAGCACUUUGGGAGGGCAAGGAGGGAGGAUCACUUGAAGCCAGGAGUUCAAGACAAGCCUGGACAACAUAGCCAGACCCUGUCUCUAUAAAAAAAUUUAAAAAUUAGCCCAGCUUGGUGGUGUGUUCCUGUGGUCCCAGCUACUUAUCAGGAUGAGGCAGGAAGAUCACUUGAGCCCACGGGUUCAAGGUUGUAGUGAGCUAUGAUCAUGCCACUGCACUCCAGCCUGGGCCACGGAGCAAGACCAUCCCUUCAAAAAAAAACCACAAAAAACGGAAAAAAUACCCCUGAAAAUAACAAAAAGAGAAGUUUUGAUUUAUAAAGGGCACACGCUAACCACCACUGCAAAGGCAUGACUACUGCCUCUGCCACAGGGGGUCCCUGAAGCUCUGGGCCCAAUUUUGCACAUGUGGGCAGGCUCCACGACCUGUAGAAAAGUCCAUUAGGAUCCCUGCGUUUCCUUCCCGAAUUGAACUAUUGUCAUUUAAGCUUCUGAGUGGCCAAAUGAGUACCUCACAUGCAUACACGCAAUCAUCUGGUUUGCUAGCCUCCUUCACAACCCUCUUCUCUCCCCUGCUGUCGGAGGAACAGUGGGGAGGUGGCCUCAGGCAGAGUAAACGGAUGCAAGUGACACCUUCUCCACAGUAAAUGGCAACUGAACAGUCCCCACAACUGAAACACUGGCAGUGGGAUUUAUGUGACCAUUCGUACACAGGCUAGUGGAGAGACGGGCAUGACGGCCCUCUCACCUGAAAAGAAAACAGAGGGCCCCUAGAAAAGCUCACCACAAGGAACAUUUUGAGCUACGAAAACAACUCAGAAGCAGUGUGCUCGGAGGAAAGCAGCCUCGCUGGAAAUAGGGCUGCAUCCCGGUGCAGUAAAAUGGGCAGAGGCUCUGGGGAAACGCAGGUGCCACCUCUUACUCACUCUAUGACCUUGGCCAAGUCAUUUCUGUUUUAGGUUCUCAGCAUCUCCGUCUGUGAAAUACUAGUUAUGAUCAUGAUACCACCACCACCACCCUAUGUUGUUGGGAAGAUCCAGUGAAAUAGCAAAUACACUGUAUCAGACUCCAGGCUCAGACACAUUUCAUUCAUUGGGAAAAAAUAAAGGAAAUAACCAGUUGCACCAAGAAUGAACUUCAAAAUGAUGGAUAGCCUACCUUAAGAUCAAAGAUGCAAUGAGAAACUUCUUUAAAGAAAUACAGUUUUCCCUUGCACAGCAGUCAUUUGGAUAAACAUCAUUCAAUCAGAAAGUAAGUCAGGGGUUAUGCUAAGAGCCAGGGAUACAAAAACAACAAGAUUAUCUUGGUCACCCUCAGGGAGCUUACAUUUGUUGAAGAUUUACAAAAGAGCUGCUUUCAUGAUGGAGUCACCCACAACAUAGUUGCCUUUGAACUUCACUCCGUUGUCUAUUACCUAAGAGUAAGUGACAAAAACAAACAUACUAUCUGAAAUAUCUUGCUUUAAGUCCCAAUCUUUCUUUUAUCACCUCUCUUUCUCUGCCUCACUGUUACUUCUUGCACAAAGUAAAAUAACCACAAGGCUCAGUUGGUUGGAGCAGCUCCAUAAGAAAUUUAGGCUUGAGAUCACCCAGCAGUUAAUGUGCUCUGAUUUCCGUGUGAACUGCAGACUUCACCACCAUGCACCUUAAAGCCCAAUCCUCAAUCUCACUAGCCAAAAACUGGGCCCGUAUUGGUUAGCUCAUCAUUUGCUGAGAAAACAGCUCAAAUCACAUAACCCACUGAAGAAGCAGGGCCACACCCCUGGGUUUGGUUGGCUGCUCAUUAAGACUUAACAGAUACACAGAUUGAUGCCACUGGAGUUGUUUACUAACCUGAAGAUCACAAUAAAUAAAACAGUUGGUGUCAAUACAACUCCCCUUAUUUUCUCUCAAGUCACCUGGAUCGUCCUGACCCCGGGAACCCCGUCUGCAGCACCAGGCCCCCUCCGUGGAGAAAAGAUGGAGCCGGAUUAAGCACCCAGUGCUAAGGCGACUAAGACGCCACUGCCCGCAGGCCCUGCCGGAAAAUACUCAGAGAGUGCAGCAGGCGCCGCGAUUCCUUAGAAAGUGCUGGCGUGGCCUCUCCUGACACAGAAAGCCGGCUCCUGGAUGCUUACAAAGGACUGGCCCGCGCAACACCGUUGCUCCUCAACCCGGGCCACACUCCAAGGACCUCUACUGAGCUUCAGCUUGCUCACCGAAAACGGCGCGGCCCCCUCUACCCGGGAUGUCGGAGCCCAGGAGACCCUGAGAGCCCCCAGCUCUUUCCGUAAUUGCAGGAGAAGGGGCAAGCGGGUCCGUAGCCGGGGGCCCUCCAGUGGCAUUAUCCUGAACCGCCACGCCCGCACGUGGCCCGGCUAGAGCUCCCUGGCGAAGGAUCACCUGUUCCUACAGUGACAACUGGACCUGGCCCGAACCCCUGGCAUCUGGCAACAUUAUUACCUGUCGAAACAGAAGUAGAGAUUUGAAAUAGAGGAUGCCUGUUCCCAUUUCCUCCUGCUGUCUGGAAGGAAGUCUGGCUUUCCAGCCCAACUCUAAGCUCAUCUUUACAUACAAAAUAAGGGUAUGUUUACAUGGAAAGCAAAAAUAGAACCAUGGAUUUACAGAAGGUUCCAUAGCAGCAAAUAACAGUGCUUAUGAAAUAAACAUUUUAAAUAUUAUUCCUGUGUAAAAUUAUUGUCAGGCAUACUUUACCAAUGAAGAGAUAGAACAAUGUGGGUUCUAUGCCUGGACACAAUGAUUUGUUUAGUGACCUUGCACAAAAUAGGCUCAGUCUUCCUGGGCCUUAGAGGCCUUGUCUAUAAAAUUAAGGAGUGGAAUUUAAAUAAGCUUUAAUAUUAUUCCCAGCUUUAUGAAUCUGAGUAAGGUUGACUUAAAAGUGUUAUUUUUAUUACUUUUUACAUUACUUUUUUUUUGAAAUGGAGUUUCGCUCUUGUCGCCCGGGCUGGAGUGCAGUGUCAUGAUAUUGGCCCAUUGCAUCCUCCGCCCCCUAGGUUCAAGUGAUUCUCCUGCCUCAGCCUCCUGAGUAGCUGGGAUUACAGGUGCGCGCCACCAUGCCUG